GAUGAACGCUAGCUACAGGCUUAACACAUGCAAGUCGAGGGGCAGCGGGGAGGAUGCUUGCAUUCUCUGCCGGCGACCGGCGCACGGGUGAGUAACGCGUACCGAACCUGCCUCAUACUCGGGAAUAGCCUUGCGAAAGUAAGAUUAAUGCCCGGUGUUCCGCGAGGGCCGCAUGGCCUUUUCGGCAAAGUUAUUUACGGUAUGAGAUGGCGGUGCGUCCCAUUAGCUUGUUGGCGGGGUAACGGCCCACCAAGGCGACGAUGGGUAGGGGUUCUGAGAGGAAGGUCCCCCACAUUGGAACUGAGACACGGUCCAAACUCCUACGGGAGGCAGCAGUGAGGAAUAUUGGUCAAUGGGCGGAAGCCUGAACCAGCCAAGUAGCGUGCAGGAUGACGGCCCUCUGGGUUGUAAACUGCUUUUAGUCGGGAAUAAAAUGCGGCACGUGUGCCGCUUUGCAUGUACCGUCAGAAAAAGGACCGGCUAAUUCCGUGCCAGCAGCCGCGGUAAUACGGAAGGUCCAGGCGUUAUCCGGAUUUAUUGGGUUUAAAGGGAGCGCAGGCGGACUUUUAAGUCAGCUGUUAAAUUCGGUGGCUCAACCAUCGCAUGCAGUUGAAACUGGAGGUCUUGAGUGUACACAGGGAUGCUGGAAUUCAUGGUGUAGCGGUGAAAUGCUCAGAUAUCAUGAAGAACUCCGAUCGCGAAGGCAGGCAUCCGGGGUACAACUGACGCUGAGGCUCGAAAGUGCGGGUAUCANACAGG
rnacentral:rRNA from 1 species